rnacentral:lncRNA from 1 species
CACCUUGGGUGUGUGUUCUGGUCGACAUUUUCCAGAGGAGCAAAGGAACUCCUUUGUUCAACCCUAACUUGUCUAAAUCCAAGAAAUUGAGAGGCCAAAUCAGUCCCAAAUUGAAAUCCAAGCUCGGAUUAGUGAUCAACUAAGUGAAGGUAUCACAAGGUAUGUUAAAUUUCAUCUGUUGGUGGAGGCUUGGGAAAGAAGCGGUCAAACGAAUCAAGCACGAGAAGAAAGGCGUAUUCGGGAUGCGAGAUAAGUAAAGCUUACACUUUUUUUUUUGUAAUACCUAUAGGUUUUAUAGGUCAUGAUGAAUAUAAAGUCUUGCUUGAAUUAUGAUGUUCCGACACGACAUGUGCGGUUCGGAACAAAAGACAAUGUUAAUAAACCAUGUUCAAUGGCUAAAAAAAGGAGCUAAUGCGGUUAAUUAGUCAUGAAAUGACUAAAAGAUAACGAGUUUUUAAAUGGUUACCUUAUAAGGUAAACCAUUGCAAAUAAUAAGGGUAAAACGGUAUUUUGGUCACUUGUUGAUAAUAACCGUUAGUUGUGAAAGACACUUUAUAGCGUAAGUUAUAAUGGGUCAAAAGAAUCAAUAAAUGAUUUAUAAGUAAAAAGACUAUACGGUGUAAACCGGAGCGAGUCAUAUAGAUAAGAUGGUGAUAAAUAUCAUCUCAUAAAGAUUCAUGGUCAUUUAGUCCAAACGGGUCAAAAGGUGAAAAUAUCACCCUUUGAUAAUAUUGACUAAUGGUUUGUCGAGUUGUGUGAUUCAGGAAUAAAUAGCACAUGGAUGUUUACAUCGCUAUUACUUAGCGGCCACUAAGGCAAGGUAUCGAAACGGAUCUAUAUAUUGAUCCGAGCCAGGUUUGUAUAACGAUUUAACUCAGCAUGUAGAACUUGAGGUGCUAUAAGAGUUAGACACGGAUAAAAUAUAGGUAUUCGGUUAUCUUUGAGCUAAACCGAAUAAAUUGAGUUAUGAUUAUAGUGUUUUAGAAAUAUAAUGGUUUCUAAACAAGAUUAUAGUUUUAAAAGUGGGAUUUUGGUCGAACAUGGCUUUAAAAGUCCUUCGUCGUAAUAGGAGGGGUAAAAGUGACCAAAAUGCCCUUAUAAGUGAAAUUGAGAAAACGACCCUUAAAUGUCGUUUAUAAAUGAGUUUUGUGAUCAAAUAGAUACUUGGAAUACGUAUAAAAAGUGAAAUAUGCGAAUCUUUGGGUCAAAUGACUCUAUAUGAGCCUUUGCCGUAAAAUGAUAAUCCGAGGGGUAAAACUUGGAAUAAAUAUAUCUCCACAUUAAAUCCUCCACACAUAAAGUUGUGGUGGAAGAUAAAUUGAUAAAUAAUGUGUAAGUACAAUACUAGAAGUGAAUGGGUAUGAAUUAUACGGUAAAAGUGCUUAAAUACCCUUAACGGGUCAAAAUAAGCUUCUAAGUCAAAACGGGUUAAAUAAGGUAUAUAAACCCGUGAUUUUGAGCCUAAUAUGAUAUGAGAUAUUGAAAUUAUGAAGUUCGUGAGUUUAAAGAUCAAAUAAACAUGUUUGUAUGAUAAAAUCACAAACGGGUCAAAAUUUUGGUAAAAAGGGUAAUAAGCCGAAGACUUAAAAGUCUUAAAUUUUGUUAAUCCGGAUGUUGGAUUUUAACUCCAUAUGAUGGAGAAUUUAAUUACGAACGCGUAGGAAAAAGAAUCGCGUAAAACGGACUUGUAUAGUGAAAGUUAUGCAAGUUCUAAGUUAAUAUUUGGUGAAUUUUCGUAGCUGGGCAAAGUGCAGCAACAAUAAAGGAACUUGCUGUCAAAAAAGGGGCUAGGUGGGGCGUCUAGCCCCCCCCCCCCCCGAAUCCCAAAAUUGUUUAAUUUUGUUUGUUUGACCCACAUAACUUGUUUAAACUUGUUAUUUAACUUUCAAAAUUAACUUUUAAGUUGGUUUUGAUCAUAGGUGAAUGUCAAGAGUGCCCGGAUGAAGAUCAAGCUCGAUGAGGAACCGAACACGAUAAAAUACAAGCUUCCGCGCGGCGUUUCGUCGUAUCUUUUAAACGACGAAUUCAAUUACAUUAAGUUGUAUAUUCUUUUAAAUUGUAAAAGUUUUAACUAACCUUAUCUAUCAAAAUUACAUGUUUGUUUUCGUAAACUAUACGAAAACUGUAAAAUAAUAACAAGGGUGUUAUAAGAUCAAAUUAACUUUUAUU